CUAAAAAAGUGCCAAAGCCCGCUCCGCGGUGCCUGGAGUACUGUAAUUGUAUUUUGUGUUUCUUGAUUGAAUUGAAUUAGAUUUGUCAUACAUGGAGUAAUUCGUCAUUUACAGAAUGGCAAUAUAAUAAUAUGGCGGGAAAAUGUUUCCUUUAGAUGUUAGUGUUUUUUAUGCUACCACAGAUUCCACCGAAAAUGCCGGAUGAAAUCGAAAAUGAAGUGGUUACACAGAUACAGCCAAUAUUUCCUCAAUUUGAUGAACACGUUAUAAGGAUGGCUAUAACUCACGUUAGACAACGCGUACAGACUGCUCAGGGAGGGCAGCCAUUAACGACAGCCUUGUUACUCCCAGCUUGUAUCGACUUCUUGCUAGAAGUUACUCAAGAUUUUAUCCUCCCAUUAGGGAACAAUUUACAAGUAAAUGGAAUAAGUCGACCCUUAGUCCCUGUGUCUGAGGAGGGAAAAACAAAUAAUGGGGUUCCUGCCGUUAUCGUUAUUGACAGCCAAGAAGAUGCAGAUAAGACUCUGAUUACGGCUGAUACUAAGAUGAGCGUGACAAAGUCGAAUAAUAAAGACAAAUAUGAGCCUACAGUGUAUGCCGGAAUUGAGAGACCGGCUUUUGAUUCCACAGUGACUAAUCCAUGGAAUACGAUCAGGUCAUCUGACAGUUCUUCGAGUUCUAGUAGCAGUGGUGGUAGUGAAAGUUCUGAUUCUCAUUUGCCCUCGAGUAGCUCGUAUGAUUCAGAAACUUUUACAAACAGCUCAUUAAACACUAAUGAAAAUUGUGAAGAAAAUAGGAGAAAGUCUGAUCAACAGCUAAAUACUCACAAAGAAGUUCUUAAGUCUGCUCUGGAGAUAGUGGUAGGAGUGGUGCCAAAUGUUGAUGAGAAAUUUGCAAUGGAUUAUCUUAAGCGUUCUGCACAAUGCAUCAAUUAUGACCAAGCUAGAAUGGCUAAUGAGCUAAUUGAACAUUUGUUUGAAAAUCAUAAUUACCCAAAGAAAGUAGAAGUUGUGAAAGAUGUCAAAGAUAAUCUAAAAAAAGAGAAGGUGACAUCAGAUGUUGAUUACUACAAGGUAGAAGGUUUGCAGACCAGUUUGAAGCAGCUCAGUCUAUAUAAACUGCAGUGCAUGGUUUUAUUGGCAAACAAAUUCACCUUGGUAUGUAUAUUAGCCACUUAAACAUUAUGUUAGCAAACUGCGUCAAUGAAAUAUGAAAUAUAAAAUAAUUUUUUCUGAUUGCUGAAAUUUUAUGAUUUCCUAAAAUUGUUUGCUAAAAGAGCCCAAUUUCUAUUUUUUUACGUGACAAAUCUUGCUUUGCAAAACCUCAUACCAUAUUUUUUCCUAAAAUUUGACGUUUUUAUCUAGAAGAGCUCAAAAGCAGCCUAAUAAAUAUCCCUUAAAAAAUAAAUCAGAUAAAAUAAGAUUAUUAUGAUCAUUUCAUUCUGCAUUCUUAGUAUUUUAGAAUCUAUUCUUUUUCUAUUUCUUGCAAAGAAGCUGGCCAUCCGUGCAAAGAGCGCAUGCCCAUUUCUUUGCACCGGCCUUGCUUUCCCAAGAAGUGUAGUUUGUGCAUGCCUUAUCAAGGCUUUAAGCUACUACUUUUACAGGAAACAUCCAAUCCCACGCAAAUGUUUUCCCUGUUUGCAUGUUUCUGUUUUUAUUUAAUUGUGGAUUUGGGGUUAGGUUUACAUGAGAAUGUUAUAGUGCACCAGAAACACAGCCGUGUUUUUAUUUGAAACUGGAUUCAAUCAUUUACACAAUACACCAAUUCGACCUACGGCUGCACUUUGAAAAAUUCUUCAAAUUAUUUUGUACAAAAUUUUUGACCUCAGAUUCGGAUUGACAGCAAUAAUUUUAGUCUAUUUGUAAGUUUUCAUUAUGAUAUUGCUCACGAUAUUGAUUUUAUGACGACAUGAAGAUAAAAACUUUAUAAGGGAUUUGACCGUGAUUGGCGACUAGGGGGGUAAAGUUUCCCCCGGAACGAUUUUUGCGGUCAAAUCCCUUACAAGUUUUCAAACUUCAUUUCUCGGUUAAAUCUAAAAUACAAGCUCAAAAAAUAUGAAAAAUGGUAUCCCGCCUAAAAUUACGACGAUAAAACCAAAUCUGAGCUUAAAAAAAUCGUAUAAUUAAGUUUGGAGAAAUUUCCAAAACGAGGUCGUAAGUCGAAUUGGUGUAUCAAAGAGAUGUACUGGAUUGUGAAGCAUUAUGAUGCAAAUAAGAUUGGAUAGUUUUCUAGAAGGAGGUUCAGAAAGGGCCUAGGCAUCCUGUGCAGUAGUGUAGCGGAGGGAAUAGGCAAUUUUAAAGCCUAGUUUUUUAGAAAAUACAAUAUUCCUAGGUGAUGGCUAGGUGAUUUGUUUGCGCAAAAUAUCAGGUAACUUGAAUCUUAAAAUGUUUCCUUGUUUAAUUAACGAAAGCUUAAUAUUUACAGACAACAGGAUUUCAAAGAUAAUUAAUAGAGAGUGCGGGAAAAUAACCGACCCGAGCGGGGCUCGACCUCACGACCCCUGACUUUGUACGUCAAGUGCUCUGCUGCUGAGCCAUCGGGUCGUGCUUAAUAUACUUAAUAAGGAGUAAACUAGGGGAUGGACAUCUUUGGCGGUUGGGGCGAGGUAGGAAAUAGGUGAUGUUCCACUCCAGAUAUUUUACAAACCGUUCGUAUUUCUGCUUAGGGCUCCUAGAUUUAAACCAAAAAACUAAGCUCAAAAAAACUUCUUUGUAAAAAAACGUAAAUUUUUUUCCGGGUAAAAGUAUAGGGGUAGGUUUUUCCACAGCAACUGUGUUUUGGAUUGAAACAUUUACAAAUCCAGCUUGAAAUUGAGGCAGGUGAUUUUGCUAAUUACAUUUUGCAAACAAACCCGCUGAUUUGUCUAGAACAAAAUGUGCUCUUGUUAAAUAGAACCCCAUUGCACUCCUUGAUCCGACAAAGAGGGAAAUUCACUGCCUGCCUGCAAAUUUAUAUCUGGUAUGGCCUGAGAAGCAUUACCUUAAGCCUCACUUCACCUAUUUGUUAGUUACUCUAGGAAUCUAUUAUAGGUCCUUUCUAGAGUUUGGUCACAAAUCCUCUCGGGAUUACAGUCCUUGCUCUAAGCAAAAGUUCAGUUCAGUUCAGUUCAGUUUCAUAUUUUAAAUUCUCUACAUACAAUUCAUUCACAUCAACAAUAAAUAGUAACUGAUACAUACAAUUCAAAAUUACGCAAAGUCAAUACAUUAUCAUCAAAAAUUAAUACAAAAUUGAAAUGCAAAACAAAGAGUGGGACAAAUUGUAUGGAGGGAAAUACUUAAAGGAGGAGCUCUCUCAGUAGUUACAUUAAUUCUGCAAAGCACUCAGCAAAACAAACAUGCUCCAUAAAACAGCCUUCAAAGAUACUCAAAGGGCUCUACAUGUUUAACACCUCUCAGUAAAUUUUUUUUGAGAGUGUCCUUGGAAGAAGUGUUAUAUAAGAAAAUCAAAAGGGUAACCAAAAAGUACCA